UCUCUUUUUUUCUCUGUUUUUUGUAUUUUGGGAUUUUUUUUUUACAUCAGCAAUAUAAAAAGUGCUUUCAGUUUCUAUUUUGUUCAAUACAUGUCGCAAUAUAUCAUAUCAAGAGAAAGUAUUCUGUCCAAUAUAUGAUACUUGUUUCUUCUGAGCGAAAAUAUAUGAUACUUCUGCCUUUGAACUCAUGCAAUUCACUCCAAAAAAUGUGUAUGAAGAAUAGGUACUAUUAGUACAUUUUGGUAUAAUUGUUUGUGAAUGCUAAAAUAG
rnacentral:lncRNA from 1 species